AGGGCUAUAGCUCAGUUGGUAGAGCACCUCGUUUACACGCGCGCCAAUGUUUACCGAGAAGGUCUACGGUUCGAGUCCGUAUAGCCCUA
rnacentral:tRNA from 17 species